rnacentral:rRNA from 3 species
GUCCUUUAGAAAUUAAUUUAAGGUCUAACCUGCCCACUGAUUUUUUAAAUGGCCGCAGUAAUUUGACUGUGCAAAGGUAGCAUAAUCAUUAGUUUUUUAAUUAAAAGCUUGUAUGAAAGGUUGGACGAAGUAAAAUCUGUCUCUAAUUAAAUUAAUUUAGAAUUUAACUUUUAAGUCAAAAGGCUUAAAUAUUUCUAAAAGACGAGAAGACCCUAUAGAUCUUUAUAAUUUUAUUUAUUAAAUUUAAUUAUGAAUUUUUAAAAUUUUAAUAAUAAAAUUAUUUUAUUGGGGUAAUAUAAAGAUUAAAAUAAUUCUUUUUUUUUAUUAACAUUAAUUUAUGAUUUUUAUGAUCCAAUUAUAUUGAUUGAAAGAUUAAGUUACCUUAGGGAUAACAGCGUAAUUUUUUUAGAGAGUUCUUAUCGAUAAAAAAGUUUGCGACCUCGAUGUUGGAUUAAAGAUUAUUUUAGGUGCAGAAGUUUAAAAAUUUGGUCUGUUCGACCAUUAAAUCUUUACAUGAUCUGAGUUCAGACCGGUGUAAGCCAGGUCGGUUUCUAUCUUUAGUAAAUUAAAAUAUUUUAGUACGAAAGGACCAAUUAUUUGAUAUAUUAAUAUUUAUAUUUUGAUUAUUAUUAA